UGCCAGCCGCCGCGGUAAUACGGAGGGUGCAAGCGUUGUUCGGAAUUAUUGGGCGUAAAGCGCGUGUAGGCGGUCUGUUAAGUCUGAUGUGAAAGCCCGGGGCUCAACCCCGGAAGUGCAUUGGAUACUGCUUGGCUCGAAGAUAGGAGAGGGAAGUGGAAUUUCAGGUGUAGUGGUGAAAUGCGUAGAUAUCUGAAGGAACACCAGUGGCGAAGGCGACUUUCUGGCCUAUUCUUGACGCUGAGGCACGAAAGCUAGGGGAGCAAAACGGAUUAGAUA
rnacentral:rRNA from 1 species